rnacentral:rRNA from 1 species
UACCUGGUUGAUCCUGCCAGUAGUCAUAUGCUUGUCUCAAAGAAUAAGCCCUGGAUUUGUAAAAUUGAACUAAAUCAGACUUUUGAA